GAUGAACGCUGGCGGCGUGCCUAAUACAUGCAAGUCGAGCGAACGGACGAGAAGCUUGCUUUUCUGAUGUUAGCGGCGGACGGGUGAGUAACACGUGGAUAACCUACCUAUAAGACUGGGAUAACUUCGGGAAACCGGAGCUAAUACCGGAUAAUAUUUUGAACCGCAUGGUUCAACAGUGAAAGACGGUCUUGCUGUCACUUAUAGAUGGAUCCGCGCUGCAUUAGCUAGUUGGUAAGGUAACGGCUUACCAAGGCAACGAUGCAUAGCCGACCUGAGAGGAUGAUCAGCCACACUGGAACUGAGACACGGUCCAGACUCCUACGGGAGGCAGCAGUAGGGAAUCUUCCGCAAUGGGCGAAAGCCUGACGGAGCAACGCCGCGUGAGUGAUGAAGGUCUUCGGAUCGUAAAACUCUGUUAUUAGGGAAGAACAUAUGUGUAAGUAACUGUGCACAUCUUGACGGUACCUAAUCAGAAAGCCACGGCUAACUACGUG
rnacentral:rRNA from 1 species